UCUGCCCAUGCGGGGAAGGAUGAGAAGCUUCGACUAAGGUUCGACUCGAGCGCCAGCGAGAGAGCGUUGCCGCAGGCAACGACCCGUAGGGCGAAGCGCGCAGCGCUGAGUAAUCCUUCCCCCACCACCA
rnacentral:sRNA from 1 species